rnacentral:rRNA from 1 species
GACGAACGCUGGCGGCGUGCCUCAAACAUGCAAGUCGAGCGGACGGAGACCGAACCGCAAGGGGAGGUUGAAGUUAGCGGCGAACGGGUGAGUAACACGUGGGUAACCUACCCUAAAGUCUGGGACAACGGCCCGAAAGGGCCGCUAAUACCGGAUAAUGUCUUCGGGUCGCAUGGCCUGGGGAAGAAAGCCGAAAGGCGCUUAUGGAUGGGCUCGCGUCCCAUCAGCUAGUUGGUAAGGUAACGGCUUACCAAGGCGACGACGGGUAGCCGGUCUGAGAGGAUGGUCGGCCACACUGGGACUGAGAUACGGCCCAGACUCCUACGGGAGGCAGCAGUUGGGAAUAUUGGGCAAUGGGCGAAAGCCUGACCCAGCGACGCCGCGUGAGGGAAGAAGGCCUUCGGGUCGUAAACCUCUGUCAUCGGGGACGAAGAAAGUGACGGUACCCGAGGAGGAAGCCCCUGCUAACUACGUG